GGACACAUGGAAAGCUUAUGAGGAAGGCUCUGUGCCCCUCAGGAAUGCAGCAACUCCCUUUGCCUUCUCUAGCUGCUCAGGGCCCCAGACUAUCAGCAAGAGGCUCCUGACGCCCGGGCCUUCCAUCAGGGUGAUGGAGGACAGGCUGCUGUGGUGGAUGGUUGUUUCCGGGCUGUGCCCAGUAAGACUAAGCAAGCGUGAGGGUAUCCAGGUGAUUUCUCCAGAGGAUGUGUCAGGCAGCAUAGAUUCCAGGUAGUUCAGGGUACCAUUCUGGGAGAUGUCUACCAUAGACCACAUCUGGAGUUGAACAGCUCAGGAAGUUGGCUUGCUCUAAGUGCAGCAGUUUACUUGGCAAGUGAUAAUGGGUCCCUGGGUCAGAAAUGAGGGGCCUCAAAAAGGAUGGAAGUAGAAUAGUAAUCCUGGGUUACUGAUGCAGUAAACGGCCACCUGCUUGCCCAAAUAGGAUGAUGACCCUUUUGUUGGCUAGGUCAGCCUCUCUCUCAGGACUUCAAGGAACGUUUGCUUGCCCUUCAUUCUAAUAGAACAAUGCUUUUCCAUUCUGGCUGCAGAUCGGAAAUCACCUUUGGAGCUUUAAGGACUUCAGAUGCCCAGGCUCCAGCUCCAAAGAUUUGAUUCUAUGUAUGAAGGCCCCCCGUCUGCCGUGGUCUCUAGAGGAAGAAAUGGGUUAGCCAGGUCACAGAUGCCUCAGGAGUGUUAAAUGAGGACUCUUGUGGAAGAAGAGGCCCUGCACCCCUCUCUCCUCUCUCCAUAUGCAGGACCAUGGAUACAGAGGGCCAACUAUGGUACUUGAGCGUCCAUGGAGUUUUGGUAUCUGAGGCAGGUCCUGGAACCAAUCCCCAGUGGAUAUCAAGAUGAAGAGGUCUGAGACAGGAAGAGGAAGUACUACAGUGGGAGCUACACUGAAAGGCCUUCUCUGCCCACCUGGCCAUCUUAGUUUCAGGGGGAAGGAGGUAAGAGGUUAUACACUCUGUAUGGAGGAUAACUGGGUGCUCCUCAAACUAUUAAUAGACACUAUUAAUACAUUAUUAAUACACUAUUAAUAGAGACAGAGUCUAUCAAAAAAAAUUCUCUGAAGUCAGACAAAUAUCUAAAUCUCAAUUUCUCUAUCAAUCUCUCUAGAACUAAUUCUCCUAUUUGGCUUUUGUUCUUUGAAUUCCUUUAGCCAGGAAUCCUGUAGGGGGAAGGUGGGGAAUAUAGUUUAGGCCAUAAGAUGUCACAGUUCCCUCCAGCUUUACCGUCAACCCCCGAAAGUUUGAACUGUCACAAAAACCCUGGGAAGGAGGAAUUAUUAAACUCAAUGAGAAAACAGGCCCAGAGAGUUUAAGUAAUUGGCAAUGGUUACAUAGGUAGUAAGUAAUAGAAUCAGGAUGUGACUACGGAAGAGGCAGUAUCCAGAGACCUUACUCUUUC